CAUAAGCGGAGGAAAAGAAACCAACAGGGAUUGCCUCAGUAACGGCGAGUGAAGCGGCAAAAGCUCAACUUUGGAAUCGCUCCGGCGAGUUGUAGUCUGGAGGCGUCCAGCCCGCCAGCAUUUGCAGUGCCAAGUCCUUUGGAACAAGGCGCCAGUGAGGGUGACAGCCCCGUGGACACUGCCAAGUGCUGGUCUCUGGGCCGCCGACGAGUCGAGUUGUUUGGGAAUGCAGCUCUAAGUGGGUGGUAAAUUCCAUCUAAAGCUAAAUAUUGGCGAGAGACCGAUAGCGAACAAGUACAGUGAUGGAAAGAUGAAAAGCACUUUGAAAAGAGAGUGAAACAGUACGUGAAAUUGUUGAAAGGGAAGGGCUUGCACCCAGACACGGUUUUUUGCCGGGCCAGCAUCUGGUGGAAGGGAGCUACAAGGAGCGACCAAUGUAGCAACACUCGUGUUGUAUUAUAGGGUCGUUUUAUGGCUCCUCUUUCGCCAGAGGACCGCAUUCGUAUGGAUGCUGGCGCAAUGGUUGCAAGCCACCCGUCUUGAACA
rnacentral:rRNA from 2 species